rnacentral:rRNA from 1 species
CGUAGGUAACCUGCCUGGUAGCGGGGAUAACUAUUGGAAACGAUAGCUAAUACCGCAUAAGAGUAGAUGUUGCAUGACAUUUGCUUAAAAGGUGCAAUUGCAUCACUACCAGAUGGACCUGCGUUGUAUUAGCUAGUUGGUGGGGUGACGGCUCACCAAGGCGACGAUACAUAGCCGACCUGAGAGGGUGAUCGGCCACACUGGGACUGAGACACGGCCCAGACUCCUACGGGAGGCAGCAGCC